rnacentral:rRNA from 1 species
UACGUAGGCAGCAAGCGUCGUUCGGAGUUACUGGGCGUAAAGGGUGCGUAGGCGGCUCUAUAAGUAUGGUGUGAAAUCUCCCGGCUUAACUGGGAGGGUGCGCUAUAGACUGUGGGGCUAGAGUGCGGGAGAGGAAAGUGGAAUUCCUGGUGUAGCGGUGAAAUGCGUAGAUAUCAGGAGGAACACCGGUGGUGUAAACGGCUUUCUGGACCGUAACUGACGCUGAUGCACGAAAGCGUGGGUAGCAAACAGG